rnacentral:tmRNA from 1 species
GGGGGCGCGCGGAUUCGACAGGGGUCUGCGAGGGUGCGUGAGCAGGCCGAGGCGCCGUGACCUCGUUAAUCCCGCGGCACAAAGAGUAGCUGGCAACAACAAGCAGCUCGCACUCGCCGCCUAAACAUUAGGUAGUGACGUUCUGAGGCGUUAUCCCUGCGGACACCCCGGAGCGACAUUUCAGCGGGGUGCCGCCGCUCGUCAGCCGGUGACGAGCGGCGAAAGAUCAUCGCCGGCUGGUUGCUCGCGAUCCCUGUCGGCCGGGGCCGCGAGCGGCGAGAUUUUGUAGACCGACUAAGCCUGUAGCGCCGCACCUGGAGCCGCCUUUGGACGGGGGGUUCAACUCCCCCCCGCCUCCACCA